rnacentral:rRNA from 1 species
UACGUAGGUGGCGAGCGUUGUCCGGAUUUACUGGGCGUAAAGAGCGCGCAGGCGGUCGUUCAAGUCGCGUGUGAAAGCCCCCGGCUCAACUGGGGAGGGUCACGCGAUACUGAUCGACUCGAAGGCAGGAGAGGGAAGUGGAAUUCCCGGUGUAGUGGUGAAAUGCGUAGAUAUCGGGAGGAACACCAGUGGCGAAGGCGACUUCCUGGACCGACACUGACGCUGAGGCGCGAAAGCUAGGGGAGCAAACGGG